GUUGAUCCUGCCAGUAGUCAUAUGCUUGUCUUAAAGAUUAAGCCAUGCAUGUCUAAGUACAAGCUUUUUACGGUGAAACUGCGAAUGGCUCAUUACAACAGUUAUAGUUUCUUUGGUAUUCGUUUUCUAUGGAUAACCGUGCUAAUUGUAGGGCUAAUACAAGUUCGAUGCCUUUUGGCGGCGUUUAUUAGCUUUGAAACCUCUUUUUCGGUAUUCAUAAUAAACUUGCGAAUCGCUUUUCAGCGAUGGCCCAUUCAAGUUUCUGACCCAUCAGCUUGACGGUAGGGUAUUGGCCUACCGAGGCAGCAACGGGUAACGGGGAAUUAGGGUUCGAUUCCGGAGAGGGAGCCUGAGAAACGGCUACCACAUCUAAGGAUGCAGCAGGCGCGCAAAUUACCCAAUCCUGACACAGGGAGGUAGUCAGGGAGACCCUACAAUACAGGGCUUUCGUCUUGUAAUUGGAUUUGAUGGCGACUUAAACCCUCGCCAGAGUAACAAUUUGGAGGGCAAGUCUGGUGCCAGCAGCCGCGGUAAUUCCAGCUCCAAUAGCGUAUAUUAAACUUGUUGCAGUUAAGGAGCUCGUAGUUGAAUUUCUGCGUUGCGUUAUUCUUGCUUUUUGCUUGACUUUCGCUUCGCUUUUUUGUUUUACUUUGAGAAAAUUAGAGUGUUUAUCGCAGACUUUUGUCUUGAAUACUUCAGCAUGGAAUAACAUAGUAGGACCUUGGUUCUAUUUUGUUGGUU
rnacentral:rRNA from 1 species